UGGGAGGUGUUUACUCUUGGUUGGACACCAUAUCCUGGCUUAGAUCCAUCAGGAGUGGUGGAUUUACUGAAUAAUGGAAAAAGACUGAACUGUCCACAUAAUGAAGCCUGCUCACAAGAAAUCUUUAUACUGAUGAGAUCAUGCUGGCAUGAGUAUCCUGAUGACAGACCAACUUUUAAGGAUUUGGUUUCAUCAAUUAAUACUCUCAUUGAACCAUUGGCUCAAUACAUUAGUUUACAAUGAUGUAUGUAACUGUACUCUGCAUGUGUAGUAAUGAUUUAGUGUUACUUCUGCUAUACUUUUAGUACAUGAGUAAUAUUAUUGUUUGGUUACUGAACUAUUUCUAUCAUUUUUAAUUGGUGAUGCUUCUUCACUUUCUUGCUGUGCUUUCAAAAUCUGAGCUGGUUUUCUAAUAGUAGUUAAUGAAUUUUUGUGUCACAGGAAUGACAUUAAAAAUGUAUAAUCUUUAUGGCCUUAGAUUAUUAAGCACCUCCCACUGCACAUUUGCUGGAUUUUUCACAAUGAGAUCAGUUGCUAUGUUUCAAUUCAGUCUCUUUGUUGCUUACUUUAUAGUGACUUUCUAUUGGUACCAGAUGGUUCUAGGCUUCUAGCACAUUUCCCAAAUUAUUACCCACUCAUUGUAUUCAAUAUAGUACAACAUUAAGUGUUACUUGUUCCUGUCAAAUGAACUGUCUGUUGCAUUUUUAUCAAAUACUUUACAACCACAAUCAUUAUAUAUACCUCGAAGGAAUAGACUGUAAUGAAACAUUAUACAAUACUACUAUAGAAGGGAUACAAUAUGAAAGGAAUUUAAGUUACUGGUCUAACUUUAUUGCUAAAGAAGAUUCUAACCCUUGUACAAUAGAUCCAGUGGUCAGUAGCAGUUCUCCAUUAAUCAGCAGUACUUCUGUUACUAGUUUUAAUAUUAUGCCUACAGCUUCUAUCUCUUCAGAUCUAUACAACUCCUCAACUCACUUUUUUGCAGUUGAAGUUUAUACAUAUUAUAUAGACCUACUAUAUACAUGUACUUGUAUACAUAACAUGCAUGAUUAAUGUAGAGUUUUAUGUACGAUACCAUAAUCAUUACUUGCAUGUAUUUGGGAAUGUAUGUGUAUGAAACUAUUAUGUGUUAUUUUAUCAUUAGUUUUAUUUUUUAAUCAGGCUACUAGGUACUAGGAUCACUGAGCUAGAGCACAGAUUGAAAGUACUAGAGAUAUCAGGAUUAUGGUCAACUCCAGAUAAUGAAGACGAUGACAUAGAGAGAGGGAAAACAACCAGCCAUUAGCUGGGGGGAGGAGGAGGAGGAGGGAGAGGAGGAGGUGGUUUUGGUAGAGGAAGAUAAGAAUGGAUCAUCAGUGCAAGGUAUAAUGUAUACAUGUAAGCAAAAAUAAUCAUAUAAAAAUAUUGACACUUAUGUCAUUGACAGCUAAUAAGAACAAAAUAAGGACAGUGUGAAUAGUAAUGUUGUGAUAGUAUACAAAUUUGUACAUGUAUAUACUGAUUGGGGGCACACUUGCAACUGGUUUCCAAGACCUUUAAUGGGCCUUUUAGAUAGUAUUCUCUCUUUAUAUUAUAUAAGUUAGGUUUAGCAU
rnacentral:lncRNA from 1 species